rnacentral:rRNA from 1 species
UACGUAGGGUGCGAGCGUUGUUCGGAAUUACUGGGCGUAAAGGACGCGUAGGCGGGCUGGUAAGUCGAUUGUGAAAUCCCCGGGCUUAACCUGGGAAUUGCAGUCGAAACUGCUAGUCUUGAAUGCUCGAGAGGAUGAUGGAAUUCCUGGUGUAGUAGUGAAAUACGUAGAUAUCAGGAGGAACACCGGCGGCGAAGGCGGUCAUCUGGCGAGACAUUGACGCUGAGGCGUGAAAGCGCGGGGAUCAAACAGG